rnacentral:rRNA from 1 species
CCUACGGGAGGCAGCAGUAGGGAAUUUUCGGCAAUGGGCGAAAGCCUGACCGAGCAAUGCCGCGUGAACGAAGAAGUAUUUCGGUAUGUAAAGUUCUUUUAUAGGGGAAGAUAAUGACGGUACCCUAUGAAUAAGCUCCGGCUAACUACGUGCCAGCAGCCGCGGUAAU